AUUGAACGCUGGCGGCAUGCUUUACACAUGCAAGUCGAACGGUAACAGGGUGCUUGCACCGCUGACGAGUGGCGAACGGGUGAGUAAUGCGUCGGAACGUGCCGAGUAGUGGGGGAUAACGCAGCGAAAGUUGUGCUAAUACCGCAUACGUACUGAGGUAGAAAGUGGGGGACCUUCGGGCCUCACGCUAUUCGAGCGGCCGACGUCUGAUUAGCUAGUAGGUGAGGUAAAGGCUCACCUAGGCGACGAUCAGUAGCGGGUCUGAGAGGAUGAUCCGCCAAACGGGGAGUGGGACAAGGCCCAGAGUCAUACGGGAGGCAGCAGUGGGGAAUUUUGGACAAUGGGCGAAAGCCUGAUCCAGCCAUGCCGCGUGUCUGAAGAAGGCCUUCGGGUUGUAAAGGACUUUUGUCGGGGAGGAAAUCCCCAGCGUUAAUACCGCUGGGGGAUGACAGUACCUGAAGAAUAAGCACCGGCUAACUACGUGCCAGCCGCCGCCGUAAGAC
rnacentral:rRNA from 1 species